rnacentral:rRNA from 1 species
GACAGAGGGUGCGAACGUUGUUCGGAAUUAUUGGGCGUAAAGAGCUCGUAGGCGGUUUGUUGCGUCGGCUGUGAAAUCCCGAGCUCAACCUCGGGUCUGCAGUCGAUACGAGCAAACUAGAGUGUUGCAGGGGAGACUGGAAUUCCUGGUGUAGCGGUGAAAUGCGCAGAUAUCAGGAGGAACACCGGUGGCGAAGGCGGGUCUCUGGGCAACAACUGA